rnacentral:ncRNA from 2 species
AUAAUAAUAGGUGAUGGAGUUCACCUUUAACUGCUUAUUUAAGCUGGAUCAAUAAAUUGAUCAAAAUAUAAACCGCUUAUUUUUAAGCUGAUGACUCCUACCAAGAU